UAGGGAAUCUUCGCGCAUUGGACGGAAGUCUGACCGAGCAACGCCGCGUGAGUGAAGAAGGUUUUCGGAUCGUAAAGCUCUGUUGUAAGAGAAGAACGAGUGUGAGAGUGGAAAGUUCACACUGUGACGGUAUCUUACCAGAAAGGGACGGCUAACUACGUGCCAGCAGCCGCGGUAAUACGUAGGUCCCGAGCGUUGUCCGGAUUUAUUGGGCGUAAAGCGAGCGCAGGCGGUUAGAUAAGUCUGAAGUUAAAGGCUGUGGCUUAACCAUAGUAGGCUUUGGAAACUGUUUAACUUGAGUGCAAGAGGGGAGAGUGGAAUUCCAUGUGUAGCGGUGAAAUGCGUAGAUAUAUGGAGGAACACCGGUGGCGAAAGCGGCUCUCUGGCUUGUAACUGACGCUGAGGCUCGAAAGCGUGGGGAGCAAACAGGAUUAGAUACCCUGGUAGUCCACGCUGUAAACGAUGAGUGCUAGGUGUUAGACCCUUUCCGGGGUUUAGUGCCGUAGCUAACGCAUUAAGCACUCCGCCUGGGGAGUACGACCGCAAAGGUUG
rnacentral:rRNA from 1 species